rnacentral:rRNA from 1 species
GAAAUCAACUGAGAUUCCGUAAGUAGUGGCGAGCGAACGCGGAAGAGGCCAAACCUAAUGUAGUAAUAUGUUAGGGGUUCGGACAGUAUAAUGAAUUGUCGAAAUUUAGCCGAAUGUCAUGGGAAGGGCAAUCAAAGAAGGUGAAAAUCCUGUAGGCGAAAAGUUAAGACAUCAGACUGUAUCCAGAGUACCGCCGGACACGUGAAACCCGGUGGGAAUAUGGGGGGACCAUCCUCCAAGCCUAAAUACUACUCGGUGACCGAUAGAGAAGAAGUACUGUGAAGGAAAGGUGAAAAGCACCCCGGAAGGGGAGUGAAAGAGAACCUGAAACCUUGUGUUUACAAGCACCGAAAGUUCAUCAACGAACGAUCGGGUACCUUUUGUAGAAUGGUCCGGCGAGUGAAUGUAACUGGCAAGGUUAAGCACUUAAGGUGUGAAGCCGUAGCGAGAGCGAGUCUGAAAAGGGCGUAAGAAGUCAGUUGUAUUCGACCCGAAACCGGGUGACCUACCCAUGUCCAGGCUGAAGUGCAGGUAAAACUUCAUGGAGGGCCGAACCGACUCCCGUUGAAAUGGUAGCGGAUGAGGUGUGGGUAGCGGAGAAAUUCCAAUCGAACCCGGAGAUAGCUGGUUCUCUCCGAAAUAGCUUUAGGGCUAGCCUUGAAAUAGAUUACCGGAGGUAAAGCACUGAAUUGGCUAGGGGCCGAGAGGUUACUGAACCUUAUCAAACUAAGAAUGCCGGAUAAUCGUUUUUCAGGAGUCAGACAGUGGGAGAUAAGUUUCAUUGUCAAAAGGGAAACAGCCCAGACCCACAGCUAAGGUCCCCAAGUAUAGUUAAGUGGAAAAGGAUGUGGAAUUGCACAGACAACCAGGAUGUUGGCUUAGAAGCAGCCACUCAUUAAAAGAGUGCGUAAUAGCUCACUGGUCGAGUGACUCUGCGCCGAAAAUUUAACGGGGCUAAACUAUACACCGAAGCUUGGGAUACAUCUAAUGUAUGGUAGGAGAGCGUUCUGUAUGGGGAGAAGUCGUAGCGAAAGCGGCGGUGGACUAUACAGAAGUGAGAAUGCCGGAAUAAGUAGCGAGAAUUAAGUGAGAAUCUUAAUGGCCGAAAGUCUAAGGUUUUUGGAGGAAGGUUCGUCCGCUCCAAGUAAGUCGGGAGCUAAGGUCAGGCCGAAAGGCGUAGCCGAUGCACAUACGGUUGAUAUUCCGUAACCAUCUGUAAUUUAAGCAAAGGGACACUUCAAAAGGGUGUGACCCGGGCGUUGGUUGACCCGGGCGUAAGGGACCGAAAUUAGAGUAGGGAAGCACACUUGGCUGAAGGCGAGAAAAGCUUUGCGUAUAGAAACAGAUGCCCGUACCGCAAACCGACACAGGUGGACAGGAAGAGAAUUCUAAGGCCAGCGGGAGAAGGGUAGUUAAGGAACUCGGCAAAUUGACUCCGUAACUUCGGAAUAAGGAGUGCUCGAAAGAGCCGCAGAGAAUAGGCCCAGGCGACUGUUUAGCAAAAACACAGGUCUCUGCCAAAUCGAAAGAUGAAGUAUAGGGGCUGACACCUGCCCGGUGCCGGAAGGUUAAGAGGAGGAGUGAGAGCUCCGAAUUGAAGCCCCGGUAAACGGCGGCCGUAACUAUAACGGUCCUAAGGUAGCGAAAUUCCUUGUCGGGU